GCUUGAGAACAAUAUUAUAAAAAUAUAAUUUUUCAACAAUGCUUGAGAAACACUUAUGUUCCACAAACAUUUCUCAAAUCUGUCCCUUGUUGACAAAUUAGUUUUGAUUUUUUGUGAAAAUUGUCAGCAAGAAAUUAUUUUCUUUGGCAAAAAACAAAAUCACGCGAAUUUAGGACCCAUUUCUGGACCGAACCCUUAAGAUUGGAAGCAUCAAAAAAGUUGAAGGAAUUCAUUAGAUGUGUAGUCUUAGUGGAAGAUAUGCAGAAGUUCAAAUAAGGGAGAAGAAAGCGUCAGGGUAUCAAGGCCACAUGAGGCAGUGACUACUGGGAUGUCCAUCAAGAAAAAAAUGUGAAAAAUGAUUAAAAAUUAAAAAAAUAAUAAUAUUAUGUACUAUUACAAAAAUAAGCUUAUUAUAAUAUUAUUAUUGUAAGCUUAUUCUACAAUUUCAAGUAUAAGCUUAUAAAUAAGGGUUCCGUUUCGAUUAUUCUAUACUUGUUACACAAACAUUUUUCAAUGUUUUCUCAAGAUUUUCUCAAGCUUAAGGCUUAUGUUCAUAAGCUUAUUGUAAUAUCCCAACAUACCAAAUUGACUUGAGAAUAAUAUUUUAAUAAGCUUACAAACAUAAGCCUAAAGCUUGAGAAAAUCUUGAGAACGUAUUGAGAAAUGUUUGUUUAACAAUUAUAGAAUAAUCGAAAAGGAACCCUUAUUCAUAAGCUUACGAAAGUAAUAUUUUAUAAAGCUUAUUUUUUCAAUGGUAAAAAAUAUUUAUUUAUUCAUUUUUUAAUUAUUUUACACAUUUCAUUCAUUGAUUGCCAUCCCAGCUGUCACUGCAUCCUGUUGCCUUGAUACCUAGAUGCUUUCUUUCCCCUUAUUUGAGCUUCUGUAUCUCCUCCACUUAUUCUUCACUUCUGUUGAAUUCCUGCAACUUUUUGACGCCUCCAUUCUGAAAUGAGAUUGAAAUAAUUUAUACUACAGAUUCCCAGAUUUAUUAUUCAUCUUUACCUUAGAGUUUCGUCCGGAAAUGGGUCCUAAAUUCGCGUGAUUUUGAUUUUAACCAAAGAAAAUAAUUUUUUGUUGACAAUUUUCACAAAAAAAAUCAAAACAAAUUUGUCAACAAAGGACGGAUUUGAGAAAAGUUUGUGCAAAAAAGUGUUUCUCAAGCAUUGUUGAAAAAUUCUUAUGAUAAACUAUUUUCAUAAUAUUAUUCUCAAGCUGUAUUGUAUUUUUGGUAUGUUGGGAUUAUUCUCAAGCCAUUUUG